rnacentral:rRNA from 1 species
GACGGAGGGUGCCAGCGUUGUUCGGAAUCACUGGGCGUAAAGGGCGCGUAGGCGGCCUCAGGUGUCGGAUGUGAAAGCCCGGGGCUCAACCCCGGAGGUGCAUCCGAAACUCUGGGGCUGGAGGUCGGAAGAGGAGGGUGGAAUACCCAGUGUAGAGGUGAAAUUCGUAGAUAUUGGGAAGAACACCGGUGGCGAAAGCGGCCAUCUGGACCGCAACUGACGCUGAGGCGCGAAAGCGUGGGGAGCAAACAGG